UACGUAGGGGGCAAGCGUUGUCCGGAAUCAUUGGGCGUAAAGCGCGUGUAGGCGGCUCGGUAAGUCCGCUCUGAAGGUCCAGGGCUCAACCCUGGGAUGCGGGUGGAUACUGCCGGGCUCGAGUCCGGAAGAGGCGAGUGGAAUUCCCGGUGUAGCGGUGAAAUGCGCAGAUAUCUGGAGGAACACCGGUGGCGAAGGCGGCAUCCUGGACCGAUACUGACGCUGAGGAGCGAAAGCCAGGGGAGCAAACGGG
rnacentral:rRNA from 1 species